GUGAACGCUGGCGGUAGGCCUAACACAUGCAAGUCGAACGGCAGCACAGUAAGAGCUUGCUCUUACGGGUGGCGAGUGGCGGACGGGUGAGGAAUACAUCGGAAUCUACUUUUUCGUGGGGGAUAUCGUAGGGAAACUUACGCUAAUACCGCAUACGACCUACGGGUGAAAGCAGGGGAUCUUCGGACCUUGCGCGAUUGAAUGAGCCGAUGCCGGAUUAGCUAGUUGGCGGGGUAAAGGCCCACCAAGGCGACGAUCCGUAGCUGGUCUGAGAGGAUGAUCAGCCACACUGGAACUGAGACACGGUCCAGACUCCUACGGGAGGCAGCAGUGGGGAAUAUUGGACAAUGGGCGCAAGCCUGAUCCAGCCAUACCGCGUGGGUGAAGAAGGCCUUCGGGUUGUAAAGCCCUUUUGUUGGGAAAGAAAAGCAGCAGGUUAAUACCCCGCUGUUCUGACGGUACCCAAAGAAUAAGCACCGGCUAACUUCGUG
rnacentral:rRNA from 1 species